AUCCAAUGCCUUCUCCUGGCCUCCACAGUGUCUUGGAUCGGAAGCCUUUAUUUCUCAAUGGUACCCCAUAUUUUGCACUCAGAAGCGUAACAUCACUCUCUGUCCCAGGCAGAGGGUGGCCCUCUCAGUCUGAGUUCAUGUGGCACUGGGCUUGUCCCUCUCUAGCCUUUAGCCCUCCUUUACGCGGUGCUCUCAGCAACGAGGAGAACCUCAGUGCCCAGCAGACUUCAAGAUGUCUGGUUUUAGUGUUGCCAUUGGAAAAAGGACUCCUGGCUUCCUGCAGAAUGAUUGACAGAGUUCUACAUACAACUCAGCCAUCCAGGCCCAGACCCAUCAGUCAUAUUGUGGUUUAAAGAAUGUGUCCCGUGGGUUAGACAAAACCCUCUAAAGAGAAGAACUCGCCAGUCCCCGAGAAACAAGGGAGACACCCAGAGCCACACAUGCUUGGACUCUGAUCCUCAUCUAUUUGCAAUGGACCAAUAUUUAGACAACAACAUAAAACUGCUUGCAGCCUUCCCCCACCUUACCCAUUCCCAAAUCAGAGUCAACUUAGAGACUCCUGGGACUCUUCAGUGUCCAUGGUGGAUAAUGCACGUUCUCUGGUAUGGAAGGCUGUAGCCCAUCAGUGUGGGAGCUGCUUGAGAAUAGGCCUCUUUCACCCUUGCCUCUCCAUGUCUAAGCAAGCUACAGGCACUCAAUAAACAUGCAGUAAGAGGGGAAAUGGUAUCAGUCC